UCCGUGUCGCAGCAGAGCAAAAACAAAAGUGUUGAAGUUUUAGUUUGAAGUCAAGAAAAGUGAUUAAACGCUCAUUCACUCAGAAAGUGGGCGUGGCUUGAGUGUGAUUGACAGCUGGAUGCCCCGCCCCCUGAAGGUUCCAGGUGAUGGCGGCCUGCUCGGAGCUCCGCCCCCCAGCCCCGCCCCGCCGGCAGACAGACAUCCAGGUCGAGGCCACGGUCCACCUGCAGAUCUUCCCCGACCCGGCGGCGGUGGUUCGAGUCCUGCGGUCCCGCGGGUUUGAGGUGACGGAGCUGGACGGGGG